rnacentral:lncRNA from 1 species
UGAAUGCUAAGGUUCAGAGAAAUAUGAUCCCAGGUGCCUCUCUUCCAUGGCAUAAUUUGUUUAGCUGAAGCUUCUUGCCAAGAAACAUUUCUCUUAGGAGAAAACUCAGCAAACACAACUGCAGAGGCAAUUAGCUUUAUUAUAAUUAUCGUACUUGCCUAGUAACCACCACACAAAUGCCUGGAAUCCAUCAUUCUCACUCAAGCUGGACUGGGAAGUCUAGGAAAUAAGAAAAUCUUACCACCUGCUUUGCUGACAUAAAAGUGCAAAUAAAUAUCCCCACAGACACCAGGGCAAUGGAGGUAUAUUUGAAUAUACUGUAUCUGGCAGCACUUACGGAUCUAAAUAUCAUAUGCAGGGGCAUGGCAAUGUUGAGAUUCAGGGCAUAGUUGUUCACCACGCUCACGGUGAAGAACAUGGUCACCAUUAUGGCAUAGUACCUGAAAUG